rnacentral:rRNA from 1 species
UUGAACGCUGGCGGAAUGCUUUACACAUGCAAGUCGAACGGCAGCACGGGGGCAACCCUGGUGGCGAGUGGCGAACGGGUGAGUAACACAUCGGAACGUGCCCAAUCGUGGGGGAUAACGUAGCGAAAGCUACGCUAAUACCGCAUACGAUCUACGGAUGAAAGCGGGGGAUCGCAAGACCUCGCGCGAAUGGAGCGGCCGAUGGCAGAUUAGGUAGUUGGUGGGGUAAAGGCUCACCAAGCCAACGAUCUGUAGCUGGUCUGAGAGGACGACCAGCCACACUGGGACUGAGACACGGCCCAGACUCCUACGGGAGGCAGCAGUGGGGAAUUUUGGACAAUGGGCGCAAGCCUGAUCCAGCCAUUCCGCGUGCAGGAUGAAGGCCUUCGGGUUGUAAACUGCUUUUGUACGGAACGAAACGGCCUUUUCUAAUACAGAGGGCUAAUGACGGUACCGUAAGAAUAAGCACCGGCUAACUACGU